rnacentral:rRNA from 1 species
CAGUCCCGCGGGAAUACGUAGGGUCCGAGCGUUGUCCGGAAUUAUUGGGCGUAAAGGGCUCGUAGGCGGUUUGUUGCGUCGGGAGUGAAAACCGGGUGCUUAACACCUGGCUUGCUUUCGAUACGGGCAGACUUGAGGCAUGCAGGGGAGAACGGAAUUCCUGGUGUAGCGGUGAAAUGCGCAGAUAUCAGGAGGAACACCGGUGGCGAAGGCGGUUCUCUGGGCAUGUUCUGACGCUGAGGAGCGAAAGUGUGGGGAGCGAACAGGAUUAGAUACCCCCGUAGUCCCUGUCUCUUAUACA